AAGAGCAUUUAUGUUGCAUGACUAGCUGGAUUGAAUUGGAAAAUAGGCUUCGAACAAAAACUACAAUUGAUAAAAGCGUUGAAUUGUUGAUCGAUGUGGAAAGAGAACAUUGGAGGCAUGUACUAACAAGGAUAAUCGCUAUUGUAAAAAGACUCGCCAAAAACACCUUGCCAUUUCGAGGAAAUGAUGAGAGGCUAAAUGUUGAAAACAAUGGUCUGUUUUUACAAAUGGUGGAAAUGGUUAGUGAAUUUGAUCCAAUAAUGAAAGAGCACCUUCGGCAGGCUAAUGCAAAAGAGAUUCAAUACACGUAUCUUGGCAAAAAAAUUCAAAAUGAGUUGAUACAGUUGUUAGCUAAUGAGGUGAGAAAUGCAAUUGUCAAGAAAGUUAAACAUGCAAAAUAUUUUGCAGUUAUACUUGAUUGUACUCCAGAUGCAAGUCAUGAGGAGCAGAUGUCGUUAAUAGUACGAUUUGUAGAUGAUUCGGCAAACUUACCUACAGUUGAAGAACAUUGGCUUGAAUUCUUGAAGGUAGAUGACACAACAGGAUUUGGAUUGACAACCGAGCUUCAAAAGGCUUUAAUCAAACUCGAUCUGGAUAUUGAUGACAUUAGAGGGCAAGGGUAUGAUAAUGG
rnacentral:lncRNA from 1 species